rnacentral:rRNA from 1 species
UACGUAGGGGGCGAGCGUUGUCCGGAAUUACUGGGCGUAAAGGGAGCGUAGGCGGUCUUUUAAGUUAGAUGUGAAAUACCCGGGCUUAACUUGGGAGGUGCAUCUAAAACUGGGAGACUUGAGUGCAGGAGAGGAAGGUGGAAUUCCUAGUGUAGCGGUGAAAUGCGUAGAUAUUAGGAGGAACACCAGUGGCGAAGGCGACUUUCUGGACUGUAACUGACGCUGAGGCUCGAAAGCGUGGGGAGCAAACAGG